rnacentral:rRNA from 1 species
AAUCAACGCUGGCGGCGUGCCUCAGACAUGCAAGUCGAACGAUUAAAGCUCCCUUCGGGGAGUGCAUAGAGUGGCGCACGGGUGAGUAACACGUAAGUAAUCUACCUUUGAGUGGGGAAUAACAGUCGGAAACGGCUGCUAAUACCGCAUAAUGCAGCGGCAUCGCAAGAUGACAGUUGUUAAAGGAGCAAUCCGCUUAAAGAGGAGCUUGCGGCAGAUUAGCUUGUUGGUAAGGUAACGGCUUACCAAGGCUACGAUCUGUAUCCGGUCUAAGAGGACGGUCGGACACACUGACACUGAAUAACGGGUCAGACUCCUACGGGAGGCAGCAGUCGGGAAUUUUGGGCAAUGGGCGAAAGCCUGACCCAGCAACGCCGCGUGAAGGAUGAAGUA